AUACUUACCUGGUAGAGGAGAGAUACUAGGAUUGUGACAGUGAUUUCCUUUCUCUGGGCACAUCUUACCCAUUGCACUCCCGGUGUGCUGAUCUCUGUGAUUAUCUUAAAUAUGGAAAAUUGGACUGCAUGAUUUGUGGUAGAAAAGGAUUGUGUUCGUACUCUCCACUU